rnacentral:rRNA from 1 species
GAUGAACGCUGGCGGCGUGCCUAAUACAUGCAAGUCGAGCGAACAGAUAAGGAGCUUGCUCCUUUGACGUUAGCGGCGGACGGGUGAGUAACACGUGGGUAACCUACCUAUAAGACUGGGAUAACUUCGGGAAACCGGAGCUAAUACCGGAUAACAUUUGGAACCGCAUGGUUCUAAAGUGAAAGAUGGUUUUGCUAUCACUUAUAGAUGGACCCGCGCCGUAUUAGCUAGUUGGUAAGGUAACGGCUUACCAAGGCAACGAUACGUAGCCGACCCGAGAGGGUGAUCGGCCACACUGGAACUGAGACACGGUCCAGACUCCUACGGGAGGCAGCAGUAGGGAAUCUUCCGCAAAGGGCGAAAGCCUGACGGAGCAACGCCGCGUGAGUGAUGAAGGGUUUCGGCUCGUAAAACUCUGUUAUUAGGGAAGAACAAACGUGUAAGUAACUGUGCACGUCUUGACGGUACCUAAUCAGAAAGCCACGGCUAACUACGUG